CAAGUUUGAUCACAAUCAAGAUAAUAUUCUAACCUUUGAUUGUAUAAAUCAAGAUAGGCUUUGAUACCACUAUUAGAUUUUGAUGAUGCAGUGAAAGGAUUAGGUGUUUAAAAUUUUCAUUCAAAAUACUUGAUGCACCAAAACCCUAAUGCCCAAGAACCCUUGAUUAUAACAAUCAAAGCAUAAUUAAAUUAAACUUAGACAAGAAGAAUACCUAUAGCACUAAUCCUAAUUUUAGCAAAGCUUUCACUAGGUGCCCAAGUAUUCAUCCUCUAACGGUGAUCCACACAAAAAAUGAACCAAAGACAGUUUUCCUUCUUCAACUUGCUUCAAGAGUUCUAGCCCCUAGAACUCGACUAGCCACCAGUCGAUCAAACUUUCUUUCAGAUCUGAGUCUGAACCUCUCAAAACCACCCACUAAACCUGACCACCUUCUUUUGGACCUCUUAAAACCUUAGAGCUAUUAAGAAAAGGCUUGUCUUAAGAAAACAAGCCUUUGUCCUAAACCCUAGAGUUGUAAGAGAGGAAGAGAGGGAGUGGAUAAGGGAUGUAAGA
rnacentral:lncRNA from 1 species